GAUGAACGCUGGCGGCGUGCUUAACACAUGCAAGUCGAACGGAAAGGCCCAAGCUUGCUUGGGUACUCGAGUGGCGAACGGGUGAGUAACACGUGGGUGAUCUGCCCUGCACUUCGGGAUAAGCCUGGGAAACUGGGUCUAAUACCGGAUAGGACCACAUUUUGGAUGGUGUGGUGGAAAGUUUUUCGGUGUGGGAUGAGCUCGCGGCCUAUCAGCUUGUUGGUGGGGUAAUGGCCUACCAAGGCGUCGACGGGUAGCCGGCCUGAGAGGGUGUACGGCCACAUUGGGACUGAGAUACGGCCCAGACUCCUACGGGAGGCAGCAGUGGGGAAUAUUGCACAAUGGGCGCUAGCCUGAUGCAGCGACGCCGCGUGGGGGAUGACGGCCUUCGGGUUGUAAACUCCUUUCGCUAGGGACGAAGCGUUUUUGUGACGGUACCUGGAGAAGAAGCACCGGCUAACUACGUG
rnacentral:rRNA from 1 species